UGGGGUGUAGCCAAGUGGUAAGGCAGCGGCUUUUGGUGCCGCCAUUCGUAGGUUCGAAUCCUACCACCCCAGCCA
rnacentral:tRNA from 1 species